CCCAGACUCCUACGGGAGGCAGCAGUGGGGAAUAUUGCACAAUGGGGGGAACCCUGAUGCAGCGACGCCGCGUGGGUGAAGGAGUACUUCGGUACGUAAAGCCCUAUCAGCAGGAAAGAAAAUGACGGUACCUGACUAAGAAGCCCCGACUAACUACGUGCCAGCAGCCGCGGUAAUACGUAGGGGGCAAGCGUUAUCCGGAUUUACUGGGUGUAAAGGGAGCGUAGACGGCAGUGCAAGUCCGGAGUGAAAGCCCGGGGCUCAACCCUGGGACUGCUCUGGAAACUGUAAAGCUGGAGUGCGGGAGGGGCAGGCGGAAUUCCUGGUGUAGCGGUGAAAUGCGUAGAUAUCAGGAGGAACACCGGCGGCGAAGGCGGCCUGCUGGACCGUAACUGACGUUGAGGCUCGAAAGCGUGGGGAGCAAACAGGAUUAGAUACCCGAGUA
rnacentral:rRNA from 1 species